UACGUAGGGGGCAAGCGUUGUCCGGAAUCAUUGGGCGUAAAGAGCGUGUAGGCGGCCAGAUAGGUCCGCUGUGAAAACUCGAGGCUCAACUUCGAGCUGUCGGCGGAAACUAUCUGGCUAGAGUCCGGAAGAGGAGAGUGGAAUUCCUGGUGUAGCGGUGAAAUGCGCAGAUAUCAGGAAGAACACCCGUGGCGAAGGCGGCUCUCUGGGACGGUACUGACGCUGAGACGCGAAAGCGUGGGGAGCGAACAGG
rnacentral:rRNA from 1 species